UCCGCAAAAUAACUCUAAGGAAAGGCCACACUCUGCACUCCUUCCUGCACUUUCCACCCCCAGCCUGCCCACCCACCCCGAUGGCAGGCUGGCACUAAGGCGACGCACUGAAGUGAGGGACUAGGAAGCACUACGUUAACCUCAGGGAGACCGCGAUGUGAGGUGCCAGGCUGGUGAAACAAGACGGCCAACACACAUACUUCAGAACCUGGGCAGGCCACCGCAUUCAUCCUUCUGUCGCAGGGGAAGGACUGCUGAGGAAUCCCACCACCGAAAGGCAAGUCCGCUGCCACGAAGUCAAGUACGCAUUGAUGCAGGAUCCCAGCCAUUCCCCCACCUGACCCUCAUUACCUAGUAAGCGGAAAUUAGAAUGGUGCAGUCUGCGAAGUAAUUUUUGAAAAAAAAUCUCCAAUAGAGAAAAUAAAUUAAGACAAUCUAUUCCCA